rnacentral:rRNA from 1 species
GCCUAACACAUGCAAGUCGAACGGUAACAGGAAGAAGCUUGCUUCUUUGCUGACGAGUGGCGGACGGGUGAGUAAUGUCUGGGAAACUGCCUGAUGGAGGGGGAUAACUACUGGAAACGGUAGCUAAUACCGCAUAACGUCGCAAGACCAAAGAGGGGGACCUUCGGGCCUCUUGCCAUCGGAUGUGCCCAGAUGGGAUUAGCUAGUAGGUGGGGUAACGGCUCACCUAGGCGACGAUCCCUAGCUGGUCUGAGAGGAUGACCAGCCACACUGGAACUGAGACACGGUCCAGACUCCUACGGGAGGCAGCAGUGGGGAAUAUUGCACAAUGGGCGCAAGCCUGAUGCAGCCAUGCCGCGUGUAUGAAGAAGGCCUUCGGGUUGUAAAGUACUUUCAGCGGGGAGGAAGGGAGUAAAGUUAAUACCUUUGCUCAUUGACGUUACCCGCAGAAGAAGCACCGGCUAACUCCGUGCCAGCAGCCGCGGUAAUACGGAGGGUGCAAGCGUUAAUCGGAAUUACUGGGCGUAAAGCGCACGCAGGCGGUUUGUUAAGUCAGAUGUGAAAUCCCCGGGCUCAACCUGGGAACUGCAUCUGAUACUGGCAAGCUUGAGUCUCGUAGAGGGGGGUAGAAUUCCAGGUGUAGCGGUGAAAUGCGUAGAGAUCUGGAGGAAUACCGGUGGCGAAGGCGGCCCCCUGGACGAAGACUGACGCUC